rnacentral:tRNA from 2 species
UGCGGAAGUGGCGGAAUGGCAGACGCGCACGCUUCAGGCGCGUGUGAGUUUAUCUCGUGUGGGUUCAACUCCCAUCUUCCGCAU